GUUCACUUCCCCCUCGCACGGCUGCUCCUCAGGCUGUGACGGCUAAAGGAAUAAACAGUCCAACGCCCAUUGCAUCCUAACUAUUUUGGGCCGCAGCUUGGGGAGAAGCCUGCUCCCACCUUUUGUACUUCUUGGUUGAGAAGACCUGCCGAGGCAGCAGCGAGAGCUUCCGGAGCGCGCUGGCAGAUCUUCUGCAAUUUGUGCUGCACGAACUCCUCCAAGGAGGUGAACUCUGACUGGCAGCGGCCACACUUGUGGACAUCAUCUUCGUCUGCAGUGUGAAGCGGAGUCGUUAGCUCUGAACAAACACAGCGCGUAUCGCGUA